CUUGCUUUUCUUAGCUUAGUGGCGAACGGGUGAGUAACGCGUGAGUAACCUGCCCUGGAGUGGGGGACAACAGUUGGAAACGACUGCUAAUACCGCAUAAGCCCACGAUCCGGCAUCGGAUUGAGGGAAAAGGAUUUAUUCGCUUCAGGAUGGACUCGCGUCCAAUUAGCUAGUUGGUGAGGUAACGGCCCGCCAAGGCGACGAUUGGUAGCCGGACUGAGAGGUUGAACGGCCACAUUGGGACUGAGACACGGCCCAGACUCCUACGGGAGGCAGCAGUGGGGGAUAUUGCACAAUGGGGGAAACCCUGAUGCAGCGACGCCGCGUGGAGGAAGAAGGUUUUCGGAUUGUAAACUCCUGUCGUUAGGGACGAUAAUGACGGUACCUAACAAGAAAGCACCGGCUAACUACGUGCCAGCAGCCGCGGUAAAACGUAGGGUGCAAGCGUUGUCCGGAAUUACUGGGUGUAAAGGGAGCGCAGGCGGACCGGCAAGUUGGAAGUGAAAACUAUGGGCUCAACCCAUAAAUUGCUUUCAAAACUGCUGGCCUUGAGUAGUGCAGAGGUAGGUGGAAUUCCCGGUGUAGCGGUGGAAUGCGUAGAUAUCGGGAGGAACACCAGUGGCGAAGGCGACCUACUGGGCACCAACUG
rnacentral:rRNA from 1 species